GAGAGUAUAGGAUCCUGUGAAACGAUGGUUGUGAGCUGUCAUGUGGGUUCUAAAAACUAAACCCAAGUCUUUUAUGAGAACAGCCUGUCUCCAGCCCCAAAAUGUCAACUUUUGCAUUAAUUACAUGCUGAAAUAAUAACCUUUUUUUUUGAAAUUUGGGGUUUAAAUGUUAUUAAAAUUAAUUUCGCUAACACGAAUUUCGAACUAUGCCACAAAUCUCAGAGCAAAGAACAGCCUGUGGCUGGGAGAGAGUCAGAUGUUGGACUCGUGGUCCAGGCUGCUACUUGGAGACAGGCAGAUGAAGGCUGAUGAUCUUGGCUCCGAGUGUGAAUGCUGUGAUUAGGAACCAGAAAUUUGUGGCAGGGGAGGAUGCUAGGUUCAGGACGGCUCAGAGUUUCAGAAAUAUGAGGGCACUUAAAUGGGCAUGCCCAAGCUAAAGUGGCUAGCCUGGUCUAGGGCUUGGGAAACAGUAAUGGGUCGAGUUGAAAAGGAAACUGUUUCCUCCAGGUGAGUCAUCUACAAAAUGGGGGCGUGAUCUUCUUGGGGCUAGUGAAAUGAUAGGGUGUCUGGUAGUGCACCGACAUGCACUAGGUACCUGGGAGGCGCUAACUGUCAGUCUCAUCACUGUGGUGGUUCAUUUCAGUUGUUAUCUUUGAUGAGAUCUAGAAUUCAUCUGCAGACAGGCCUCUGGGCACGCUUGGGAGGGAUUCUCUUGAUUUGGUUAACAGAGUGGGGAAGACCUGCCCAGGGUGGGUGGGUACCAUGAUCCGGAAUGGGAUCCUGGCCAUUAUUAAAAGGAGAAAGAGACGAAACACGUUCCUCUCUGCUUUUUGACCAUCGACUGCUGACACAAGGUAUCCAGCUGGCUUACUCUUCUGCUCCUGGAUUUCCCCUGCUAAGGUGGACUGUGUACCCUCAAACGGUGAGCCCCCAACAGAGCAAACACUUCUUUAAGUUGCUUUUGUCCGGAUCUAUUAUCAUAACAGGAAAUAAAAGGAAAAAAAAAAAAGAGCUAAAGCCUUUGCCCUAAUGUCUCUACAGCCAUGGCGUCCUAUGGGAUCCAUCCACACCUGUGUUCUAAAGUCCUCAGUGCAGGCAGGCGGAGAUGUUUCUGGAAGAACUUGUAGGGAAUGAGGAGAGAAGUUUUGCUCUGCCCUAAAGAGUGGGUGAACAGCCAGUAUAUGCAGUCCACAGUACCCCAGUACUGUUGCCCCCCAGCUCGGGCAGGGAGGCCAUCAGUAAACCUUGCUUCAUUCUAAACCUUAGCUUCUGCGCUGGCUGCAGUUGGCUAGCUGGGCCCUUGCCUGUUUUGUUCUCGCCAUCAUCUCCCUUCCAGAAAGCUGCUCGAUUUCUCUUGACCCACAAAAGGCAUCACUUCCUUGAAAACUUGGCUCAUGUCAAGCCUCCUGGCGGCUCCUUCCUGGGGCAGAGGGCCAAAGUCCUGACAAGACUAAGAUGAGGUUUUGGAACCAGGCCAAGCUGGAAAAAACAGGAAAGAUGACGAACCAAGCUGCCUCCUUCUGGGGACUGUUUAUUCCACUGUUCCUUCAAUUGAGUUUUGUGGGCACGUUUCAACCCUUGACAUUUCACCUAGUGCAUGUCUCUGGCCUUUUUCCUGCUCCUAUCCGCCCUACCCCAACACAUCACUAGUUACAGAGACUGUUGGACGGAUUCACUCUGGAACCACUUGGCUAGCUAGCUGCACCCAAUUCCUAGAAACCAGGAAGCACAGGCACAUCUUAAAUGAGUAUCUCUCAUGUUUAAUAGGAGAAGCCAUCUUCUAAAACAAGCCCCCCUGCAACAUCUUAGGGUAAGGCAGUUCCCCUUUGUUGCCAUGAAAAGAGAAGGCUCAGAGUGGCUCCCCAAAGUCACCGGCGUGCAAGCGUAGCCUCCAGGAAUGAGAAAGGUUGGAAGAGAGAAAGGGUGAUUUUGUGUUCUGGGCAGAUCUUGCGUGGUCACGAGCAUUUCUGCGGUGAUUUCUCGCCCUACCUCUUAGCGGCCCAGGAAUGUGGGCAAGUUCUUAACAGGAGGCGGCGUAGGGGAAGCCGUUUAGAGAGACUCGGGGGAGUCAAAUGUCAGCUCUGCCAUCUGCUAGUUACGUGACCUUGGGCAACUUCCUUCGCCUCUCUGCACUUUGGUUUCCAGAGCUAUAAAAGCAGGGUAAUCAUAGCACCUACCUCAUCGGCUCGUUGCGAGGAUUAAACGCGAUAAUCCACGAGGAGCACUUAGCGCGCUGUCUGGCUCGUGGUCCGGUGCCAUGUAUGUCAACUAUGGGAUGAAUGUGGGCCUAGCCAGCUUUGGCCACCACCUGUCACCCUGGUGGCUCCCUCAGCACUUGGCACGGGGUAGGCGCUUGCCGCCUGGGCCACUGAAGGAAGGAGCGGUUAGAAAUUGACUCAGUGUUUCUGAAAACAGGCUUCAGGCAAACGUGUAGGAGGCGACUCCAGAGGAGGAGGAGGAGGAUUUUCGAGAGUUUCCCAACCAACGAGCAAGUAAUUGCUUUUUGCACGCUAGUAUAAACUUGAAAAUAUUUCCAGAUGGGAAAUACCCAUUGGAUCCACAGGUCACACCCAUUUCCAAUGGCAGCCUAUGCAAGCAGAGACAUUCCUGUGCUCACACCUAUAGAAGCAGGCCAUUCACACGACACGGCACGCAACCCCGAAGGCAGUUUAAAGUCUUAAGCAACCCCACUUCAAAAGAGUCGCUGACUUGAAGCAUGCCCCUUUUGAAACGUCCCCGAUGCCUCUGCCUCUCACUUUUGGGCUCACUGUGUGUGUUUGAUACUUCCGGUUCGCUAACGUCUGUACCUCAGCCGUGGGCCCAGGUGGGAGAGACCACAGAAUUCACAGAACACUUAAGAGGUAAUAAGAAUCUCGCAGUUCAGUGACUCACUCAUUCAACAUACUCUUAACAUUUGGGACUUGGAAAACUGGAAAUGAUGAAUCAAAGAGUCACCUGGAGUCAGACAGAGAUCUGAAACUGAAUCAGCAGAGGACUUUACUCGCCGAACGGGUACUAAGCCUCGGUGAGAGGACAGGGUGAGUCAUAGGGCCGUGAUUAUCACGAAAGUAGCAUUUUUUUUUUCUGCCUAAUUCCUUCUAUGUAGGGAACAGAGCAGAAGGAGUCAGACAGGCUGGUUUCCAUGGCCUUGGGGCCGGUCACUUCCUUCUGUGAUUCCCAUGUUCCUCAUUUGAAGCGUGAAGAGAGUCCCCUUGGCCUUAAAAGGCACAUCUUCUCCGUUCAUUCAUUCAUUCACUCAUUCAUAGAAGAUGGCGUUUCCUAAGGAAUAGAUUGCUCUGUAUAGCGUCUAUCUUUGGGGGGGGGGCGUAAAAUGGGGUCAUUUGGUAGACAUAUUAUUUGCUCAGCAAACAUUUACUUGCCUAGCCCUCCCCACUUGGAGAGGGAUAGAAUUUCCUCACUCUGUUGAUAUUAGAUUUAGCCAUGUGACUUGCUGGAGACAGAAUACAGGCGGAAGCGGCAGCAGCCAGCUCCGGAGUCGCUGAGCCUCCCCUUUCCCACCUCUUGAGCAAUUGUCCUUGGCCAUGAGAAUACCAGAUAGCGGGAGUCCUUCAGCCGGACAAAGAAGGAGCAGACAAGGGAGACAGCUGUGUGUGACCCAAAGCUCGGAGGCCAGCCCGACCCAGCUAACCCACGGUGCUGAGAUUGAAUUUAGGGGCCUUGCACGUCUGGUCAAUCACUCCAGGACUGAUCUCCAUCCCUGUCUCUGGUUCUUGUAGUUCGCCGGUCUCACUGAGAAGCACAGGACAAGGUAGAUUUGGACGGCUGUGGAGAGUGAGCGCUGGCGACAGUUGAGCAGUUUGUCAAGUGGAGACACCAAGUGGUCAGACUCUGGAACAGCAAUGGCCAAGCUGAACUGUGGAGCAAGGUGGCAGCUACUGUCUGAGCCCUGAUCCAGAUAUAGUUGACUGUUGCUUCUGAAGCUACAAGAAACCUUGUCUUGACUGAGUCCUGACCCAGUUGCUGAUGGAAUUCUAACCAUAGUCUAGGCAGAGAGAGAGUCUGUCUUCCUAAACAGUAUGUUCUUCCUUCCUUCCUUCCUUCCUUCCUUCCUUCCUUCCUCUCUCUCUCUCUCUCUCUCUCUCUCUCUCUCUCUCUUUCUUUCUUUCUUUCUUUCUUUCUUUUUUGAGACAAUGUUUCUCUGUAUAACCCUGGCUUUCCUCCCUGGCUUUCCUGGAACUCACUUUGCAGACCAGGCUAUCCUUGAACUCAGAGAGCAACCUGUCUCUGUCAAGAGCUGGGAAAUUCUGUCUUCCUAAUCCUGCGACCCUUUAAUGUAUACAGUUCCUCAUGUUGUUGUGACCUCCAACACUAUUUUCAUUGCUACUUCAUGACUGUAAUUUGGCUACUGUUAUGAAUUAUAAUGUACAUAUCUGAUAUGCAAGAUAUCUGAUAUCUUGAAAGGGUCAUUUGACCCUCAAAAGGACCUCAGCUUAACAAGUUGAGGGCCAACGGUGAGGAUAUAUGUAUGACAUAUACCACCACACCUGGCAUCAUAUUUUAUUUUAUAUAUUAAUUUGCUUGUUUGAGAUAGGGUCUAGGCUGGCCUUGAACUUAUGAUCCUCUAACCUCAGCUUCCCAACUAGUAAAAUUAUAGUUGUGUACCAACAUACCUGGCUAACAGCUUUUAUUUCAAAAUCUGUAAUGUUGGAGCUGGAGAGAUGACUCAGUGCUUAAGGGGAUUGGUUGUUCUUCAAGAGGACCCAAGUUAGGUUGGGGAUUUAGCUCAGUGGUAGAGCGCUUGGCUAGCAAGCACAAGGCCCUGGGUUCAGUCCCCAGCUCCAAAAAAAAAAAGAAAAAAAAAAAAAGACGACCCAAGUUCAAUUCCCAGCACCCACAUAGCAGCUCACACCUCUCUGUAAUACCUGUUACAGAGGAUCAGACACCUUCAUAAGACACCCAUACAGUAAUAUACACACACUAAUGUUCACAAAAUACAAAUAAAUUAUUAAAAAUCUGUAAUGUGUCUGCUAUCACUCUUUUUUUUUCUUUUCUUUUUUUCGGAGCUGAGGACCGAACCCAGGGCCUUGCGGUUGCUAGGCAAGCACUCUACCGCUGAGCCAAAUCCCCAACCCCGUCUGCUAUCACUCUUUAAAUCAUUAUUUUCAUUUAUAUUUUUUCAUACAGUGUAUUUUGAUCAUAUUCUUUCUUCUCCCUUAGCUCCUCCAAUAUCCUCCCCACCUCGUUACCCACACAACUCCAGGUUGUGGUAGAGCGCUUGCCUAGCAAGCACAAAGCCCUGGGUUCGGUCCCCAGCUCUGAAAAAAAAGAAAAGAAAAAAAAAAGAAAGAAAGAAAGAAAGACUCCUACAAAAAAUGAAAAUCAAAACAACCAAACCAAUGAGACCAAGAAAAAAAAAUACCAAACCAAAAUAAAUAGUACACAAAAAGUGAAGUUAAAAACAAAACAAAAGGUCCAGAUAUUACAGACAGUUGUGUUGGCCAACAACUUCUGGGCAUGGGGCCUGCCCUAGAAUGUGGUUGAUAUACCUAGUGUCGCUCCACUGGAAAAAAAAAACCAAACAAACAAACUGAUUUUUUUCCCCAGCAAGUAGAGACAUUGUAUCCACUUUCCCAGGUGCAAUGGUCUCUGUUUGUUCACGUGGGCCUUUGUCCUGUUGUGUCUGGUUUCCUUGGAGUUAACUACCACCUUUGGCUCCUUAAGUUUUUCCACUAGACCCCUGAGCUUCAAGGGAGGAGUUUGGUAAAGACAUUCCAUUUAGGGCUGAGUGGCCCCUCUCUUCACAUUGUCCAGGGGUGGGUCUCAUUGUUAAUCAUCAAGCAGAGACUGCUCUGAUAAGUGUAGAGCCAGCAGUGGUAGAGUGCUUGCCUAGCAAGCGCAAGGCCCUGGGUUCCGUCCCCAGCUCCGAAAAAAAGGAAAAGAAAAAAAAAAAAAGCGUAGAGCCAGGAUCUGAUCUCUUGGCUUUCUGUUUGACUUCUCGAGUUUUUCAUUUCAAGUUUUGUUUCAGUUUUGCUUCUCUUUAGUGAUUCUACUUCUUUAUUAAAUUCUGGUUUCAUAUCUUGAAUUCUUUCCAUUACUGCAUUCAACUGUUUAGGUUUUCAUGGUCUUUAUUGAGCAUUUAUUGAUAUCCUCUCUAAGGUGCUUGAACAAAUGAAUAAUUGCUAUUUGGAAGUUUCUAUUAUGUACUUCAACUAAACUGGUUUUCCCAGGACAUAUUACAACAGGGCGUCUGGCUUCUGGAGGAGUCACAAAUGUCUUGAUUCUUCAUGUUUGUGUUUUGUACUGGGGUCUAGGUAUCUGAAGUCACUAGAUUUGUGGUUUUUCCUUCGUUGGGUGGGUGUUCCAGUCAUUAGUUGUCAUUGCCCAAUCUGGGUCCCAGCCAAAUGUGGCAGCUGUGGAGUCCCUGGUAGAGAGCAGUUCUGCAGGUUGGUGGGAGUCACAAAGGAAUGUAGAUGGGCUAGAAGAAAUGGCUGGGUCCCAGCCAAGUGUGGAGGGUGUGGGGUCCCUGGCAAAGAGUGAUUCUGGGCCUCAGCCAAGUGUGGCAGCUGUGGGUUCCUGGUAGAGAGCUGUUCUGCGUGUUUGUGGAAUGUUACAAAAGAUGGGAUAAAAGGAAUGACUGAAAGGGGCAAUGGGAAAGAAUUAGGGGCACCCUGGAUUAUGAGUCCAAGCCCAAAGGCUAUGGGGCUGGACUCGGAGGAGGAGCCCCUGGUAUCACUUUCAUAAACAAGAAUUUUUAUAAAGCACCCACGUAACUGACACACAUUGCCCACAUCCCAGAAGACUUCUCAGGCUCCCUUAUUUUAGUUACUUAUCUUUUUGUUGUGGCAGAAAUGCAGGACAAAAAAAGAGGUAAGAGAGGAAGGAUUUCUUUUGGCUCAUGGUUUGAGGGGAUACGGUCUAUUAGAGCCGGGGAAAGCAGGACAGUGUGGUACGCAGUUGGGACUUCUUACUUGGGCACGUCUUGGCUGAGCAGGAAACGGAGAGGGAUGCUGGGGCCCAUCUAGGCUUUUCCUUUUCUCUCUUAGUCUGUGUGGGUGUCGAGUGUAUGGCAUGAUGCGGUCGGCGCACAGGGUGCGCCAUCUGUCUUCAGUCAUGGGAAGUGAACUCAGGGUCAUCUCACAAGUGUGACUCCUUCAGUAGUGGGUUGUGAGUUUACAUGGACUCUGCGUGGGGUUCUAAAAUGGAAUGUGGGGCUGGGAAACUUUUGGCAAAAGUAUUUUGGGACUUGCAAACCAAACUGCUACUCAAAACCAAAUGCACAGUGAUUCGAUGCUUCCUGGCAGUGCUCCUCCAUGUUGCAUUGUGUGGCUUCAGUGUAGUCUUUUCUCUGAACACAACAUGGGACAGUGCUUUGCAUGCUGGAAUCAUGAAAUGCUAGCCAGAGUUGCCUGAAACACAUCAGCUCAGAGACUACUGCUUAUUCUGUGUUAUAAAUUUCAGUGUCUUUUUUUUUAUAGCACAUACAAAAUUUUCUGCUUUAAUAGAAACAUAAUUAUUUAAUUGUGAGAAACAAGGGCCUUUAAUAUUUUCUUAUUGUCAUGCCUCGGAAUAUUAGCUAUCAAAUUAAUAUUUCUUUGUUUAUCACUAUUUUUCUAUUUUAUUUUAUGUGUAUGAGUGUUUUGUUAGCAUGUAUGUCUAUGCAUUAUGUGUGAGCCUGGUACUAAGGGAGGCAAGAGGGCAUUAGAUGCCCUGGGACUGGAGUUACAGAUGAUUGUGAACAGCCAUGUGAGUGCUUGGAAUCAGCUCUGAAAAGCAGCAAAUGCUCCUGCCCCCAAAUUAGCAUAACUUGGUAUGAUAUUGUGUCAGAGCAUUUACAAUUGCUGUUUUAUGUGCUUGGCUCUAGUUUCAUUAAAAAAUUGCUAAAUGAAUUUUGGUUUGGGAUUGGGAGAUAAUUUCUAGCAAUAUCUGGAAUAGUACAAAGGCAACCUUGUAUGAAGUGGUGUUCUUAGCAUUGGUGAUUACAAAAUCAAAUUAUCAAUGACUCUGAAAAAUGUUAACUAUGCUCUGUGUUCUGCCAUGUCCAAUAUUUGGCCAAUGGAAAGACAGCUCAGUGGAUAAAACCAAUGGUUUACAGGCCUGAUGACAUGAGUUCAGUUCCUGGAUCCUGUAGUGGAAGGAGAGAACCAACUUUCAAAAGUUGUCCUUUGACCUCCACAUGUGCGUCAUGGCACUUGAACACACAUAUGCAUAUACAAUAAUAAUAAAUAUUAAAUAAGUAUGAUGGUUUGUAUAUGCUUAGCCCAGGGAGUGGCACUUUUAGAAGGUGUGGCCUUGUUGGAAUAGGUGUGUCACUGUGGGUGUGGCUUAAGACCUUCAUCCUAGCUACCAGGAAGCCAAUAUUCUGUCAGCACCCUUCAGAUGAAGAUGUAGAACUCUCAGCUCCUCCUGCACCAUGCCUGCCUGGAUGCUGCCAUGUUCCUGGCUUGAUGAUAGUGGACUGAACCUCUGGACCUUCUGCAGGGUCCCGAGUGGCCUUUCUGCCUCUGCCCUGUCCUCUCAGUGAUGGCAGCCUUGAAACUGUCUUCUGAGUUAUGGCAGCUACGCCCACAGGACUGGGUGACCCAGUGGGGCCUGGAGGUGGGGGACCACCACUGUCUGUCCUUGGUCUGAGAGGUGACCACAGCGGCUAAGAUGACCACAGGGGAAAUGGAGCAGGAUCCGAUCAUACAGAAGAGAUCUUCCGAGUCCACGGGAGUGAUGGGAGAUUGGAUUGUAUGAUGCUUGGAAAGUUCUUAGCAUACCGCUUGUGUUGGGGAAGUGCUUAUGGUGGACCAUUGUUAUUAUUGUCAGCACUGGUCAUUAUUACAAUAUCCAUCACUUUUGUAAUUAUUGUCGUUGUCAUUGUCAUCAUCAUCAUCUUCACUAGGCAUGGCCAGGUAAGGCAGAGGUGACUAGCUGCCCCUCCCCCCACCCUGGAAAUUUCAUACCUUCUCUUUCAUAAAGUAGGAAGAGCUGCCCCAGACAGGAACUACAUUUCCCAUACUCCCAUGCAUCUGUGUGGGACCACAUGACUAUUUCUCAUUAGUGGACUGUGAACAGAAACAUAGGCACGGGAGACUGAGUUGAGUCCACCUUCUCUCUUCUCCCCUCCACCACCCACUAUGGAGAAUCAGAGGACUCUGGGGCUCCAGUAGGGAGUCUAGUUGUUCUGACCUCCAUUACCACAGUCCAAUUCUGCUUUUUCUUGAAUAUCGUGUAAAAGGAAUCAUACAAAUCACUUGUUUUUUUCUACAUUCAUAUUUUACGUUUUUGUAACUUUGUAUUUGUUCUCUGCUUUGCUAUUGUGCUGUAUUGCACUCUAUUGUAACCUGUCCCUUCCGUGUUCUUAUUGUUGGGGGUUUGUACUGUGUCCAGUGUUUGACUAUUAUAAGUAAAGCCACAACGGGUUAUCUGUG